ensembl:lncRNA novel transcript
CAGUGUGAACAGAUGAAGCAGACAGGAAGGGGGAAAUGGCAAUGUAUACUGUGUGACAGGCACUAUGCUAAGCAUCUCAUCUUUACCGAAAGCAUUUAUGAAGGUUUUCUCUUUUAAAAAUGAGCCACCUGGGCCAUGAAGAAGUUAAGUGACUUGACCACAGUCACAACCUAACCCAUGUGGUAGCAUCAGGAUUUCAGUCCAGAUCUGACUCAGAACUCAUGCUCUUAACCACCAUGUGAUUUUAAGCUGGAUAACAUGGAAAUACGUUUAAAUAUAUAAGGAAUAUAUGUAAAGGUAAUAUACAUUACUUUUAAAUAAGACAUCAGGUCAGUGCUAACUCCUACAGUAUAGAUGUCCCAGGUUGAAUAAAAUAGUUUCCUAAAAUCUCUACAUUUAUAACAAUGACAUAGGACAGACAGGUGGCUGCAAGAUGUAUGGUGAAGCUUAUGUAUACCUUAGCUAUUAGGGCAAGAAGUAUACAUUUUAGUACUUGUACUAAAACUAACAUAUAAAUUAAUCUUGAUGUGGAAAAUAAAAGCAUUAUUGGUG